rnacentral:rRNA from 1 species
AACGAACGCUGGCGGCAUGCCUAACACAUGCAAGUCGAACGUGAUCCGGGCUUCGGCCCGGUGAAAGUGGCAGACGGGUGAGUAACGCGUGGGAACCUGCCCGAUGGUAGGGAAUAACUGCGGGAAACUGCAGCUAAUACCCUAUGACCCCUGCGGGGGAAAGAUUUAUCGCCAUCGGAGGGGCCCGCGUCGGAUUAGGUAGUUGGUGGGGUAACGGCCUACCAAGCCUUCGAUCCGUAGCUGGUCUGAGAGGAUGAUCAGCCACACUGG